UACGGGGGGGAGCAAGCGUUGUUCGGAUUUACUGGGCGUAAAGGGCGCGUAGGCGGCCACCGCAAGUCGACUGUGAAAUCUCCGGGCUUAACCCGGAAAGGUCAGCCGAUACUGCGGGGCUAGAGUGCAGAAGGGGGCAACUGGAAUUCUCGGUGUAGCGGUGAAAUGCGUAGAUAUCGAGAGGAACACCUGCGGCGAAGGCGGGUUGCUGGGCUGACACUGACGCUGAAGCGCGAAAGCUAGGGGGAGCGAACGGG
rnacentral:rRNA from 1 species